rnacentral:lncRNA from 1 species
UGAGACAUUCGUUGAAAAGGUACUUAAUACUUUACCUAUGAAGUUUGAUCAUAUUGUGGCAGUAAUUCAAGAGACCAAGGAUCUUUCAACUUUAAGUUCUGAGGAGCUUCUGGGCUCAUUAAUUCUUCAUGAGAAUAAAAUUAAUGGGAAAUUAGAAGAGUCAUUGGAGAAAGAUCCGGCAGAGAAGGCAUUGCAGGCACANNNN